rnacentral:tRNA from 1 species
AAUACUAUGCCGGAAUAAACGGGUUACGUUGAUGAUGUGAAAUAUAAGAGUUUUCUUUAGUAUUA